rnacentral:rRNA from 1 species
UACGAAGGGGGCUAGCGUUGUUCGGAAUCACUGGGCGUAAAGCGCACGUAGGCGGCUGUGUCAGUCAGGGGUGAAAUCCCGGGGCUCAACCUCGGAACUGCCUCUGAUACAGCACAUCUUGAGUCCGGAAGAGGUGGGUGGAAUUCCUAGUGUAGAGGUGAAAUUCGUAGAUAUUAGGAAGAACACCGGUGGCGAAGGCGGCCCACUGGUCCGGUACUGACGCUGAGGUGCGAAAGCGUGGGGAGCAAACAGG